rnacentral:rRNA from 1 species
UUAGUGGCGCAGCUAACGCACUAAGUUGACCGCCUGGGGAGUACGGACGCAAGAUUAAAACUCAAAUGAAUUGACGGGGGCCCGCACAAGCGGUGGAGCAUGUGGUUUAAUUCGAGGCAACGCGAAGAACCUUACCUGGCCUUGACAUCCAGAGAACUUUCCAGAGAUGGAUUGGUGCCUUCGGGAACUCUGACACAGGUGCUGCAUGGUCUGUCGUCAGCUCGUGUCGUGAGAUGUUGGGUUAAGUCCCGUAACGAGCGCAACCCU